GACGAACGCUGGCGGCGUGCUUAACACAUGCAAGUCGAACGGAAAGGCCUGCUUUCCCUUGUGGAUUGCGGGUACUCGAGUGGCGAACGGGUGCGUAACACGUGAGUGAUCUGCCCCCAACUUGGGUAUAAGCCUGGGAAACUGGGUCUAAUUCCCGCUAGCACUGCAGGGUGCUGCCUGUGGUGGAAACCGAUUUUCCAGGGGUAGGGGAUGAGCUCGCGGCCUAUCAGCUUGUUGGUGGGUUAAUGGCCGACCAAGGCGGGGACGGGUAGCCGGCCUGGGUGGGUGGACGGCCGCAUUGGGACAGCGAAACGGCCCAGACUCCUACGGGACGAAGCAGUGGGGAAUAUGACAAGAGGGGCGGAGACCUGAUGCAGCGACGCCGCGGGGGGGAUGACGGGAUUCGGGUUGUGAACUGCUUACGACCGAGAGGAGGCGACCUGGUUGGAGGGGUGGUGACGGUAGUGGUAGAAGAAGCACCGGCUAACUACGUG
rnacentral:rRNA from 1 species